rnacentral:siRNA from 1 species
ACAAUAACCACCACUAGAUCC